rnacentral:rRNA from 1 species
UACGGAGGGUGCAAGCGUUGUUCGGAAUCACUGGGCGUAAAGGGCGUGUAGGCGGUCCGCUAAGUCUGAUGUGAAAGCCCGAGGCUUACCCUCGGAAGUGCAUUGGAGACUGGCGGACUGGAGUCCCGGAGAGGAGGGUGGAAUUCCUGGUGUAGCGGUGAAAUGCGCAGAUAUCAGGAGGAACACCGGUGGCGAAGGCGGGUCUCUGGGCAACAACUGACGCUGAGGAGCGAAAGCGUGGGGAGCGAACAGG